AUGCGCCUCGGAUCUCUCAUCCUUGCUGCCUUCCUGGGGCAACUCCUGGGCAUCAUGGGGCAGACCACUGUCACCCAGCAAGAAGGACAAGUCACGGUGAAGCAGAGAGGCACCUUCCAAGCAACCUGCACAUACAAAACCUCUUACUUUUAUGGCUUGCUCUGGUACCAGCAGAGGAAAGGCCAAGUCCCACAGCUGGUCUUAUAUCAGGCAGCAGCUGGCCCCAAGCACAGCGGCCGUCUCCCCACGUCGCUGAACACCACAGGGCAAUACAGCCUCCUGCGGCUGGAGGAAGCCGAGGUCUCUGGCAGUGCCUUGUACCUCUGUGCUGUGCAAGACACCCUG